UUUCACAGUGUUCCAUAGUAUGUUUGUAUCGUAAUAUAUUAAGUCACUUCUCUACUGAAUGCUUAAGUUUUAUCUCUUUGCUAUUGUAUAGUAUACAAUGAACAUCCUUGCUUGUGAAAUUUUGCAUAUCUUUUAUCUAUUUCUGUCCAAUAGAUUCCUGGACAAAGACCAAGAGCUAUAAAGACCCUGAAAGGGUUACAUAUUUCUGCAUCGCACUCCCCAAAGACAGGAACUUCUUGACCCUCUUGCUGGCAUUACCUACAGGCCCACACUCUCCAGUGCUGAGAAUUACUACCUAAUUGACCGGCCUGUGAAGACCCUGUUCAACGCAGGGAGCCAUCUCCAGGAGGCACCACUUACACCACGGCCAUCAGGGAGAGGUACAUUCA
rnacentral:lncRNA from 1 species